rnacentral:misc_RNA from 1 species
UCUCCGUAGGUGAACCUGCGGAAGGAUCAUUAUUGUAUAACCGAGGUGCGAGGGCUGUCGCUGACCCGAAAGGUCGUGCACGCCUGAGUGCCCUCACACACAUCCAUCUCACCCCUAUGUGCACCACCGCGUGGGUCCCCCUUUGGCUUGUUCGGAGGGGGGCUUACGUUUUCACACAAACUUUGUAUGCAGUGUAGAAUGUAUUUUUUGUUUUUGCGAUCACGCAAUCAAUACAACUUUCAACAACGGAUCUCUUGGCUCUC